UUUUUAAUAUAGGUCCUUGGAUAAUACUUAAACGGGUGCAGCCAAUGUUAUAGGUAAUUCAAUGUAUAUCUGUAAGCAACGUUAAACUAUUGCUAACGAAAAAACGAUUCUGAGCGGAGCUCAGUUGAAAGUGAUACUUUGUCAACAAUACAUACAUGCCAUAUUAUAAUAUUAAAUAAGCUCUUUAUAUUUUCUUUAAUAAUAUUUGUUUAAUGUUGUGACGUUUUUCACAGUUUCCCCAUGUUUUUCUCCCAGUUUUUCACAUUUGUUAAGAUAAUCGAAAAAUAGCUUGUUUAAAGUGCCUUUCCACGCUGAUUUCCUUUUUAAAAAGAUGCUACACAGAAAAAAUGAAGCAAUAUAUUUGGUAGAAAAGUUGUUUACAGAAAAAAAAAACAAACAUCUUAUAAAACAAUAUGCUUAUUCACUCCUAUACCUAGC